CCCAGAAACAUGUAGAAUUUGACCACCCACGUCUCCAUGGCAACUGAAUCAAUUUGCUGAUCAGUACUGUGUGUUGUGGUCGAAAGCUCUAGCAAAAGCAAACUGAGUGAAAUAUGAUUUGAUAUUGUUUUGCCCCUGUUUAGAAGUGUCAAGCUCAGUCAUUGCAACAAAUUCUCUUUAAUGCGCUUUAAACUUUACUUUGUAGGUCAUAACCGGAAGCAAUUUCUUAAUACAGAAGUUUUACAGCUUCACGUUUACUUUGGCUAAAAAGUAUAGCCACCGGUCAGUAUCAACGUCAAAAGGCGAGCUACCUGGCUUGGAAGAAAUAACAUCCACAAAGCAAGGGAUGCCAUUGCACCUUCUGCAGUGUACAGGAAAAAGAGGCUGCAGUGUCACAGGCUAGAUCACAAAAGAAUUUGGUUUGCUGUUAUCCGAUUACCAGCAUCCUGAGAGGCUUUCACAGGCCCAUCCAUCAAGACUAAGGGGUUGAGGGAGAGCCUCAACACUGCUGCUGCAGUAAUGUAAAGCACUAAAGGAUUCAUGGUUAUUAAAAGGCAUGGCUCUUGCUGUGUGUGGGUGUGGUGGGGCAUCCUGUCCCCAGGUCAGUAAGGAGAUGACGUUGACGGGAUCCGGGAGCUCCAGGACUGGAGAUAUCGGACUCCUCCGUGAAUGAGCUUGGUGCUGCGGCUGCUGGUGCCUGAUGAGAAAUUGUCUCCCUGCACAGGGGCAGUUUUGAGACCUGACAAUGGGAACCAAGGAAACACAUCAACAUUUGGAUACUUAUUGUCCCAAAUCUUUAGAAUGGAUCAAGAUACUAUUCACAUAUGCACAACCUUCCACUGUAAUAUUCAUGAUGAGAACAAUAUUGUGAGGCCAUACAUAUUCCAUUGGUUAAAAACAACAAUCAUUUCCACUAGUAUGACAGCAUGAAUCUCAAAAAGGAACUGCAUGUUUAGAAAACACUCUUAAAGAAACUAAACUGAAAAGAGAAAUCUAGAAAACAUCAGUUUUCUUCUGCACAUUUUAAUAAAUGUAUUUGAGAGAAAUCACAUGACUUUCAUAGCUUUUUUAACAGUGAAAUCACUCUUCACUUUGCCUAUUAGAAGCCUCUUUGCUGU